rnacentral:ribozyme from 2 species
GCUUUAAGCAACCAAAGACAGGUACAAGCCUGUUAAAUGCAGAGUGGAGA